UGUGAGGGGAAGUUGGUUCUUAUACCCACUGCCUGCCCCUUCUCCCUUGUGUAUCCUGCCUUGCACCAGGUUGCUCAAAACUCACGCUGCAGUGGAGGCAUUUUGCUGGCACCAAAUCCAGCCUCAGGAAGGUUCAGAGAACUGACUCACCACGCAUGCUCUCCCAUCCGCAGGAUCCGGAGUCAUCCUGGCAGGGGUUCAGGGCUGAAGAAAGAAAACGUUUCAAGUGGGACUGGGGAGGGAGGGGACUGGAGCUGCCUUCCCUCCUCCUCCUCCUCCGCAUGCAAGUGCCUUCUGAUUCCAGGCCAGGCAAGCCUGGAGCUUUUUUCCUUUUAUGUGGAUCACGUAGAAAGGGAACUCCAAGGAAGUCUAGUCUACGCAGGUUUUGAGGCAAGACUACAAGACCAGGAGUCUUGCUUCGACUUUGGGAAUCCACAAUGUGAACGUGACCAAAGGCACGGGUCGAAGUGGGAUGUCUCUGGGUGUUGCAUGCAGCCCAUGCAGCUGGAGCUGUUCAUUCAUGUGACAUGUGAAGACGUGGCUGCCGUAAGAGCCUGAACACAGAGAGGAGUCUGGAAGUAUGGAUUCACAGUCACAUAACAUGAAUCAGCCUGAACCGUCCCGGAAAAAUAGUCGACUUUUUGUUUAGCCAUAAAAAAAAAAAAAUAAUCCAACAACCUCUUUUGUUCCGGAAACCUCUGGGCAUAUUAAGCGAAACCAGAUACUCAAGGGUGGGGGUGUUGGGGGGGAGAGGCAUACAGGAAAGCAAUCAAAAUCUACUGGAGGAAUUUCUCCUUUCUGGAAGAACAUAAACCAGUAACAGAAUGUAAACAACCCGCCAUAUGUAACUUGUAAAUCAGAAGCAAAAGGACCGGGUUCCCAGCAGGCCAUUGUGAACGGUUGGCUGUUGAGUCUUUUUAUUUUUGUUCUUCUUGUUUGAUUUAAUUUUAAAUUUGUCAUUCUUUUCCCUCCUCUUCCUGCUCCCCCAAGAUGAACCACAAGCUGAACUCCUAAAGCGUGGCCUCCUAAGUGGUGCCUGAAAUAGUCACAGCGUAUUAAUUUUGCAGCAGCUGAGGCAUGGGGUUUAAUAGGGUCUGACAAUGGUCCCUCCUGAAAUCAUGCCGAGAGCAUUAGUUGGCUGGGACAAGGCUGAAUUCUCUUCCCAAGUUAAUCAGUCACCUGCGCUAGCCAGCGCAUGAGCUGGGCAGUUUAUUUCUUGUUUGUUUAGACUGCAAGAAGUAGCACUAUCGGAUAGGAGAGAGAUACCUAAUUUUAAGGGCUCUUGGGAGUACAUGCUUUGCAGCUUGAAAAUGGCUCCAGGCUUUAAAUAGAGUGGCUUUGCAUUUGUUAGACUUUAGAAGUCUAACAAAUCCAUUUUCUAACUGAGGAGUUAAAAAAAAGGGCAGAGGGUUUUUAAAAGCAAUCAGGAGUCUGCUGGAGUUAUCCGUGGAGGUAUUGCUCUAAAAAGGACAAAGUGAGCGCUGGGAGGCAGGAUGGGUUCAGCUGUGAACGAUAGAUAUAUCCUAAUUACAUGUUUCAUCCUGCAGUGCAUUUCCAUGUUUGUUCUAAGGAUGGAAAACAGGAAAUUUCCAGCAGAACUUGGAAACAACAAAAAAAAAAGUUGCAGCAUUGCAUGAUGUCAGAAAUGCCUGUUUUUUUCUAGCAACUGUAUCUUGUAGUCAGAGCAGAGUUGUGUUCACGAGACAGGCUCUGAUCUCUGAACAUAAUGCAAAUUAAUAGGAAUGAAACAAGAAUGAAACAAGAGUAAUGUUUUGACUCCUUAAUGCCUACAAAGAGCAAACUGAAUUUACAAGCACAGUGUCCUGAAGGCAAAGGCUAAAAGAGAUAAUUUCUUUUUACUUCUCUCCUGUGUUAAAAUGAACAAAGCCCUCUUGUUGUUUGUUGUUGUUGAGAAACUGGGGGAGCGAAGAGGCAAAGCCAGCCUCUGUAAUAUUUAGGGACUUCACCUCAUAUCCAUUUCAAAGACACCUCCCCGUAGCUGAGCUUGCAAGUAAAGUUUAGCCAGGGAACAAAGCUCAUUUGCAUGAUUUCAUCUCUCCCCCUAAAAUAGGGGCAUUUGUAGCAAUUUGUUCAAAUAACGAUGAGCACUGAUCCUUUCCGGUAUCAGCCCCGGUGCUGUCAAUGCAGCAGUGGCAGCGCUAGAAAUCCCCCCACCCACCGCCGCGCGUUUAGGAUCACUGCCUGCUGAAGGCAAAUCUGAAACAACAAGCGGAUUUGCGAAGACUUUCUGAGGGCCUUGUCUGCCCUCAUCACACAACUCAAAUACGUUGUGCUCCUGACCAGAUCUUGCAGGAGAUUAAGGGUGGGGUGGGAAGCAGGAUGGUGAGGGGCUUGUCAAACUCUGCUUAUUAAAAUUCGGAAAGGUCACCUGCCUUUUGGGCUGCUGGAGGUAGCAGACAGUGACAGGCUGCAGAUGAAAUCCCAGAACGUGCUUUUGCUGCUCUCCACCUCCGGACCAGCUCUUUGGAAUGGGGGGGGGAAUGAGAGAACUUGGGCAUUUUCUUUACUCAUCAGGAAGAUGGAGCCCCUGGCGACUGCUUCAGAGUGUAUGGAAAGUGCACUGCUCUUGCCCGCUGCCAUGGGACUGAUGAGGCUUGAAAAAAAAAAAAAAAAAAUAUAUAUAUAUAUAUAUAUAUUUUAUUUAUUUAUUUAUUUAUUUAUAUAUAUAUUUUUUUUUUGGAGUAGGGUUUGAGGUGUGCAGGAAUGGGAGCUGGAGGGCUGCAGCCCAGCUGGGACCAGUGCGUGCCCCGUGAUGGAGACGUGCAGCUGCCCAUCCUCCCAGACUUGCCCUUAAAAAUAGAGGUCCUGUAGGAGGUCCCAUGGGUGAUGGCAGCAGUGAUGAGGGAUUCUGGCUGUGUAUCAUGUUCUGCACCAGGGCCUGCAACAAACCCAGGGAAGAAUGAGGUGCUGACAGCAUUCAGACUGUGCUGAGUGGGGCCUGGGGGCACAGACCAUGAGGUUUGGUCUCCUGCCCUAUUCAGGUCUUAGAUGCUCCUCUGUGCUGAGCAGCACUUGGAGGCAGGGGGAGCAGGAGAAGUAGGUGGUGGGAACAGGCCAGCCCUGCUGCCUGUGAAGCUCAGUGUGUGCAUCUUCAGGAUGAGACCUGACACUCCGCAGGCUCCUCUAACUCCGCUGGGGAAAUCCCUGUUAACGUGACAGGAGUCAUGACACUGUAGCUGUGCUAAGAUUAGGGGAGGGGAACCCUACCCGAGGGGAAAGUACAAAAAGUGUUCUGGCCCUUGCUGCUGGGGUGUGUAUUACAAAUCUUGUGGGAAGCUCUUGUGCUCUCUGACGUUUCUGCUUUGCUGGUGCCUGGUGCUGGCGGAGGGAUGGUGCCCUGCUUGCGCAGCCCUUGGCAGAGGUGUGUGCACAGCUCAGGAGCUUUCACUAAAGCAAACAUGCUCCAAAAAGGUUUGUGUUGGAAAAGUCAGAAAACAUGAGGGAAGUGGUGGCUCAACCAAACAUCUCAAAUGUGAACAAGAUGGUUGGUUUUUUGGAAGUCAUUUAAUGUCUGUAAUUGAAAAAAAAACCUAUUAUCCAAUCUGUUUUUAGCUUAAAAACAUCAUUUGAACUAUUCCCGUUUGAACUAAAGUGUUUCCCUUUAGAAAUACAAUCUCCUUUUUCUCCUUCUUUCUUUCUUUUCUUUCUAAUGAGAGACAACAUGAUCACUGCAAUUUUCUGAAAUGAUUUGAACUCGAAGAACUAUUUCAAUAACUUGAAUCAGGUGUUCUUAGCCAAACGUCGAGCUGAAGUAUAUCACCUGGCUCUAAUGAGAAACAUUAUGAAAGUUCAGACCUAGUUUAAAAAGCUUGUCCAGUACCGUAACAUAAUCAAUAAAGAGAGUUCUCUGUGCA
rnacentral:lncRNA from 1 species